UCUAAAAAAUCGCCUACAAGUGAGAGGCAACAUUUACCCCUCUCCUUCGACAGUUCACCCUCUCCGCUUUACGCAAUGUAGGCCUAUCCAUGAAGAAACUGUAAAGUGUUAAAUGUUAAAAAUACCAAUUCGCCGAAUUUCUCAUGCUGAAAGAGGACUCCGCAACUCGCGAGCGCGGCUCUGGUGCGUCUGUGCAGUAGACUCUGAAAAGAAAACUAUUAAUUUACAGCUGGGAGCUCGUUGCUGCAAAAAGGACAUUGAAAACCUAUUUUUUCACUUUAAGACAAAUACGCUUAAAAAGCAAACUGGCUCACGUUCUUCCAAACCAACCCAGUUUGACAGCUGCUCUUCACCCCCUUUGGAGGACUGUCGGCAGCAAGAGGAUGGCAUCAGAACUGGCAAUGAGCAACUCCGACCUGCCCACCAGUCCCCUGGCCAUGGAAUAUGUUAAUGACUUCGAUCUGAUGAAGUUUGAAGUGAAAAAGGAGCCGGUGGAGCCCGAUCGCAACAUCAGCCAGUGCAGCCGCCUUAUUGCCGGGGGAUCCUUGUCUUCCACACCGAUGAGCACGCCUUGCAGCUCGGUGCCCCCUUCUCCAAGCUUCUCGUCGCCCAGUCCGGGGUCGGGGAGCGAACAGAAGGCACACUUGGAGGAUUUCUACUGGAUGUCCGGUUAUCAACCGCAGUUGAAUCCGGAGGCGCUGGGCUUCAGCCCCGAAGACGCAGUUGAGGCGCUGAUCAACAGCAGUCACCAGCUCCAGUCCUUCGAUGGCUAUGCUAGAGGGCAGCAGUUUACCGGCGGAGCCGGAGGAGGAGGCACCAUGGGCGGGGAAGAGAUGGGCUCUGCCGCGGCGGUGGUGUCCGCAGUUAUCGCCGCUGCAGCAGCCCAGAACGGGGGUCCCCACCACCACCAUCACCACCACAACGGCGGCCACCAUCACCAAUCACCCGGUGUCUCGUCCAACGGCAGCUCCGGAGGAAACCACCCACACAUGGGACAUUUGGACGACCGGUUUUCGGACGACCAGUUGGUGGGCAUGUCGGUGCGGGAGCUCAACCGGCAGCUACGGGGAGUCAGCAAGGAAGAAGUGAUCCGGCUGAAACAGAAGAGGAGGACCCUAAAGAACAGAGGCUAUGCGCAGUCCUGCCGCUACAAGCGGGUGCAGCAGCGGCACGUCCUGGAGGGCGAGAAGACGCAGCUCGUCCAGCAAGUCGACCACCUCAAGGCGGAGAUCUCCAGGCUGGCCCGGGAGAGGGACGCAUACAAAGAAAAAUAUGAGAAGCUCAUCGGCAACGGCUUCAGAGAAAAUGGAUCCAGCAGUGACAACAACCCUUCCUCUCCGGAGUUUUUCAUGUCAUCCAGAAAAUUCCUCCAUCUGUGAUCGAGAGCCUCGCCCCUCCCUGCCCUUGGCCUUGAUGUCUGAGAUGUUCUAGUGUGUCUGUGUGUGUGUGUGUGUGUUCAUACCUGACUGGGAGGACGGCAGGCACCUUACCCUAGUGGUGGCCCUGGCAGAGGGGGACUGGAGUUCAACACCCAGCAGGGGGAAAGAGACCCAGAAUCUGCUGACAAGGACAAAGUGACAGAUAACCUGGCGACUGAACGCUGAUGACUUUAGAGUGACUGACCAAUGGCAUGAGGAACCCCACAAAGCACAACAACAUCUAAAGAUGACUUCACUGGAGAAGAAGAAAAGACCCCUAAAAGACCCCCUGCAGAGAAAUGCUUCAGAGCCUCUUCCUACUCCCACUUUCCUCUCCGCUAUUUUACCUCCAGCUUUUUUGUAAGAAAACAAAAACAAAAACAAAACACUGACUCAAAUGAUGUAUCAAGAUGAUUGACAACAUCAGAAGAAUAUUACUGGAGAAACCAUUUCCUCUGUAGGGGGGGAGGGACGGGGUAAACAAAACUUUGAUGCAUGUUACUGUAAGUAGUUCAUCUAAAAACCAACCUUUUUCCCCCAAGUGGGAUCCUCCACUAAGAAGACUCAUCCAAGUCCAGCAUUCCUGAUAUAGGAUAAAAUACCCAAGCAACCCAGCUCCUCCCUCUGAAAUCCCUUACUCUAUCUUCCCUAUCAGAGGUCAUUGUAACUACCAUUGACAAUAUGUUCCUCGUUUUAGAGAACUUACUUCCUGUAUCAUUUUGGAGUUAGUUGGACUGUAAGACUACUAUAGUGUGUACUAUUUGCAUAAUGAACCAGUCUUCCUCUCCAAUGGACAUGAGUGAUGUACUAUAGCAUGGAUCUGACUUUACUGUGUUCCUCAGUAUGCUUGUAGAUCACAAAACUCAUAAUUGUGAAUAGUACAAUGAUUACACCUUUUUAAUCCUAGAUUCCUAUCUUUACCAGGCAGUAUUAACUUAAGAUAUACUAUGUAGGACAUUUUGUUGACCUGUACAUUUGACUAAAUGCAUAGAAAUGCAAGUAAUAGCUCACUGUAUUAUUUGAAUACCUGCAGACAUAUUAGGGAAACAUUUCUGUCUAUAAAGACAAUGGGACUGUGACUAAGUCAUAUAGUGUUGACUAUAUUAUGAAGGUAGAACCAAUAAUAAAGUAUUAGAGAGUAAACAUACUAUAGUAUCCUCAGCAGGGUCCCCAAUGCAUCUAUGUCAUGUGUCUACCUGAGAUCUGUGGGCGGCCAAUCUUGUAUUUGGUUUGUUUCUUUGUUUGUUUCCUCAUCCCUUUUGAAUAGCUUGUACCAAUGGCCCCUCUGGGCUCUGUACUGUGGUCUCUCUCAUGGACCUCUCAUAGGGCAACACAUGUCCUCAGCUAAGGCAGGUGUCUCUAUCUCUCUCUCCCACAACACCUGGCAUGGUUUACCCAGGUGCUCCUCUGUACGGCCAAACAAGGCGAACGGAUCAUCACAGUAUGAUUUCAAGGUUGCAGAAACCAUAUUGACUUUUGACCUAUCUCAAACUGUCUACUGAAGACAUAACAACAACCAGACCAACUACAGCUGUUGGUGCAAGAGAGGAUACUGUGCAUGGAACGCAACGCACGCAAGAUAACCUGAAAGCAUCUUCAUCCUCUUGCAUCCUCUACCUAUCGAUGUGCUUCCAGGACAAACCUGAUACCUAAACAGCCCCUCGCCUGCUCCCACAAUCCUCUCUGCUCCUCCUCUCGCCCAUCCCAGAGACUCAUGAGGAGAGAGCCAGUCGAUCUGUUUCUAAACGUUACGGAUGGACGCUCGUCGUGACGGUUAAAAACAAACACAUACACACGCGCAUACACACAUAUACCCACCCCCACACACAUAAACACUCUCAAAGGGAGACAAGUGGAAUACAGUGGUGUAUGUAUGUAUAUUCUGUAUGUAUAGAACCCUCAGCUGUAAGUAGUACAUGUUGACAUGUAGAUGAAAAUAUGCAUUGUGAUCCUAAUACCUACCGGAGACAGGCUGGUGGCCGUUGAUUCAGAAAGAGGAAGAGACACUCUCUCUAAGCCAAUGGAAGCACUCUAUCCUAUGUUUUCAGGGUACAUACUCUUAAGUUUCCUUAAUGACAGAAAAUAUAAUGUGAUGGAAAUACUGUUCCUUUUAAAAAAGGACCUCCUAAGCAAAACCACCGAGCUGAAUGGGUUUUAAGCACUUUGAAGGGAUGAUAACGCCCCCUUUGAUGUCAGAAAGAACCUGGCCAGAGUGA